rnacentral:rRNA from 1 species
ACUGCUCAGUAACACGUGGACAACCUGCCCAAAGGUCCGGGAUAACCCCGGGAAACUGGGGAUAAUACCGGAUAAAUCACAGGUACUGGAAGGUCUUGUGGUUGAAACUUCCGGGGCCUUUGGAUGGGUCUGCGGCGGAUUAGGUUGUUGCCGGUGUAACGUACCGUCAAGCCUGUAAUCCGUACGGGUUGUGAGAGCAAGAGCCCGGAGAUGGAUUCUGAGACAUGAAUCAGGCCCUACGGGGCGCAGCAGGCGCGAAAACUUUACAAUGCGGGAAACCGUGAUAAGGGGACACCGAGUGCCAGCGUCAUACGCUGGCUGUCCGGGUGUGUAAAAUACACCUGUUAGCAAGGGCCAGGCAAGACCGGUGCCAGCCGCCGCGGUAACACCGGCGGCCCGAGUGGUGAUCGUGAUUAUUGGGUCUAAAGGGUCCGUAGCCGGUUUGGUCAGUCCUCCGGGAAAUCUGACAGCUUAACUGUUAGGCUUUCGGGGGAUACUGCCAGACUUGGAACCGGGAGAGGUAAGAGGUACUACAGGGGUAGGAGUGAAAUCUUGUAAUCCCUGUGGGACCACCUGUGGCGAAGGCGUCUUACCAGAACGGGUUCGACGGUGAGGGACGAAAGCUGGGGGCACGAACCGGAUUAGAUACCCGGGUAGUCCCAGCCGUAAACGAUGCUCGCUAGGUGUCAGGCAUGGCGCGACCGUGUCUGGUGCCGCAGGGAAGCCGUGAAGCGAGCCACCUGGGAAGUACGGCCGCAAGGCUGAAACUUAAAGGAAUUGGCGGGGGAGCAC